rnacentral:rRNA from 1 species
CCCUUAGAUGUUCUGGGCCGCACGCGCGCUACACUGAGUGUCUGAGAUACGAGUCUGCCUGGUCCGGCAAGGUCUAGGUAAUCGCUAAAAGACACAUCAUGCUUGGGAUAGAUUAUUGCAAAUAUUAACCUUGAACGAGGAAUUCCUAGUAAGCGCAAGUCAACAGCUUGCGUUGAUUACGUCCCUGCCCUUUGUACACACCGCCCGUCGCUACUACUGAUUGGAUGUUUAAGCGAGGUUCUCGAACUGCUAGCGACUUAGCUUCGGUGAGGUCGCAGUGUGGGAAGUGAACCUAGCUUUGGUGUCUAGAGGAAGUAAAAGUCGUAACA